CCUACGGGAGGCAGCAGUGAGGAAUAUUGGUCAAUGGACGAGAGUCUGAACCAGCCAAGUAGCGUGAAGGAUGACUGCCCUAUGGGUUGUAAACUUCUUUUAUAUGGGAAUAAAACGUUCCACGUGUGGGAUUUUGUAUGUACCAUAUGAAUAAGGAUCGGCUAACUCCGUGCCAGCAGCCGCGGUAAUACGGAGGAUCCGAGCGUUAUCCGGAUUUAUUGGGUUUAAAGGGAGCGUAGGUGGAUUGUUAAGUCAGUUGUGAAAGUUUGCGGCUCAACCGUAAAAUUGCAGUUGAAACUGGCAGUCUUGAGUACAGUAGAGGUGGGCGGAAUUCGUGGUGUAGCGGUGAAAUGCUUAGAUAUCACGAAGAACUCCGAUUGCGAAGGCAGUUCACUGGACUGCAACUGACAUUGAUGCUCGAAAGUGUGGGUAUCAAACAGGAUUAGAUACCCCGGUAGUC
rnacentral:rRNA from 1 species